GUCCCAAAAAGCGGUUUGCUGAGGGCCCACCAUCUAGGGCUGCGGAUUUCGAUCAAUCCUCGAGAGCUGACGAGAUUGAUAACUUGGAAUCAGCAAAGAAACCCUUAUUAUCGUACAAUUUUACUCCUGCUUCUGCUCGUUCAAAGCAUGGUACUUUCGGAGCCGGUGGUGAAGCAUCUACGGCUGACAACUGGGGCGCCUCGAAGAAACCCGUUGCUCCACCGCCUGCCAGAUCUUCGACUUUUGGUUCGGGAAUCAGAGACUCGAGGCCUGAACCUAUGCGCUGGUUGCGGGAUGGAGUUGAGAGAUUGGUUUUGGAAUCACCUGAAAAUGAACAGGGAGGUGACAAUGUGAAUGAGGUGCACAAGCCUAACCCAGAGGAGGUGCUGCUGGCAGAGAAAGGUACUUGAAAAAGAUGGAUAUGGAGAUCGAGGUGAAAUUAACUACUAGUAGACCAACAAAUGCGCAAUCUGAAGGAUCUGCAUUGCAUGGUAUGCUUGAAGUACAGGAGUCAGGAGGCAUCAAGGUCAAGAGCAAAGCUGGAUCCUUUCGCUAGUACCAGGGUUAGGGAGGUAUUGCUCGAGGUGAAGGGCAUAGAUCAGACGAAGAUUGGUUUGGACUCAAAGCAACAAUGCAAUGGCAGACCAGAGUCUGAAGAUGAGAAGAAAUUGAAAGAAGAAAUAGAGAGCUUGAAAAAGGAGGCCUCUGGUGAAGACCAGACUCGCUUGCAUCAGCUGAUAAAUCAAAAUGAAAAAGACUCGAAUGUGCUGGUCUAUGACUCGGACAAAAUUCAUCUUAGUGAGAAAGGCAUGGAAAGGCCAGGUUCAGGGUCAAGCAGAGUUUCUAGCUUUCCUGAGAGACCCCCUUCUCAGCGAGGAUCUUUUGGUGAACACAGAAGUGAUGAGUUUGUGGAGAGGCCUAAACAGCAUGGCACACAAGAUGCAUUGUCAAGGCCAUUUGAUGAUAGAAUAGCCUUCCACGCUGGUAGAACAUGUGGUAGGCCAAGCAAUGACUGAUGAUCUUUUCAGGGUUGUAGAGAGAGAGGAUUACUUAGCAGCAGGGACAUGGAUGAGAGGUCAAUAUCCAACAACAUAUGGUGAAUUUCAACUGCAGCGGUUUCUCUAAUAUCUGACAAAGUAGUGCAGAAUAGUUUUUACCAUCUAAUUUUACUGUGAGGAUUGAAGCUAGAAUGGUUGAACGCUGGCACACCUUUGCGGUGAUUUUUGACACAUCUUGAAUCUGUGUAGAAUUGCAAUUUUGCACCCUUCCGCUCUGUCUAAGAGGCAUGGAAUGGUUUUGCUUUUUGGUCAGAAACACUAAUUUAACAACACCGCAUAUGCUCUUGCGGUCUUCUUCUUUUGGGUUUUACCUAAAUUCGUGCGGCAGGCGGCCAGCCAGCCACCAUGGCGGUCCACCCAAGCCAAUAUAUAUAGCCGCCUCUGUUUCCCAUUCAAUUCGCUUCAUAUCACUCAUUCUCCCUCCCAAGGAACCAACACUACAAUCAACACAGGU